GGGAGAACCUAGCUGACCUGCGAUCGACAGAAGGUCGCUAUGUGUCCUCUGAAACGUUGAGUCCGACUGACUCGAAUAUGAUGGUUGUGAGGGAACAAACACCGUCGGAAGCGCUUGCAAUAGUCCCGAUCCAGGUUUUUGUGCCGGCAUCCCAAACAAC